ACAGGCUUAACACAUGCAAGUCGAGGGGCAGCAUUUUAGUUUGCUUGCAAACUGAAGAUGGCGACCGGCGCACGGGUGAGUAACACGUAUCCAACCUGCCGAUAACUCCGGAAUAGCCUUUCGAAAGAAAGAUUAAUACCGGAUAGCAUACGAAUAUCGCAUGAUAUUUUUAUUAAAGAAUUUCGGUUAUCGAUGGGGAUGCGUUCCAUUAGUUUGUUGGCGGGGUAACGGCCCACCAAGACUACGAUGGAUAGGGGUUCUGAGAGGAAGGUCCCCCACAUUGGAACUGAGACACGGUCCAAACUCCUACGGGAGGCAGCAGUGAGGAAUAUUGGUCAAUGGGCGAGAGCCUGAACCAGCCAAGUAGCGUGAAGGAUGAAGGCUCUAUGGGUCGUAAACUUCUUUUAUAUGGGAAUAAAGUUUUCCACGUGUGGAAUUUUGUAUGUACCAUAUGAAUAAGGAUCGGCUAACUCCGUGCCAGCAGCCGCGGUAAUACGGAGGAUCCGAGCGUUAUCCGGAUUUAUUGGGUUUAAAGGGAGCGUAGGUGGAUUGUUAAGUCAGUUGUGAAAGUUUGCGGCUCAACCGUAAAAUUGCAGUUGAAACUGGCAGUCUUGAGUACAGUAGAGGUGGGCGGAAUUCGUGGUGUAGCGGUGAAAUGCUUAGAUAUCACGAAGAACUCCGAUUGCGAAGGCAGCUCACUAGACUGUCACUGACACUGAUGCUCGAAAGUGUGGGUAUCAAACAGG
rnacentral:rRNA from 1 species